GUGGCAGCGGCUGGGCCCGCGGCUCAGGCCAAGGAGGGUGCUGGGCAGGCCCCCCUUGCCGGCCGGCGCUGCACCUGGAGAGGAGGGUGGAGAGGAAUAGCGAAAAUGAGAAAUGCAGAUGAAAAGAUAUCUGCUUGCUGCCUCCUUUCUUGGUGAGCUGGGCUUUACCCUCUUUCUCCCUGAUCUGCUUCAAAUGGAUGUUGCAGCUGGCUGUCCUGAGUGGGUGCUGCAGAGGCCCAGCCAUAAACAUCCCUUUCCACGGGCAGAGGGGUCUGCUCUUAGCCCUGGAGGUGUCAGCAGGAGCCGCAGAAACCAGCCCAAGAGGUCUUUGUGCCACCUUCAGCAAUGCCCUCACUGACAUCCCUGCUGAGAUCUCCCCAUGCCUAAGUGCAUCCUUCAGACCAAGCUCCCUGCCAGCCCUGGGGUUGGGAAUGCAGCCUGAAUUUCCCCUGGAAAGAGGAAAUACCCAGCUCCAAAACUGAGGCUUCAUCCUGAAGUACAACAAACAGGACCUGAGGAGCCUCCCAAGAGUCUUGGAACCAAGAAGAAACAGCCAGAGCAGAUGAGCAGCUGUAAAAUCCCCAGGGCAUCUCACACCCCUUGGGGUUGGCACUAGUGGGAAGCAGGAGGGUGCAAAGCAGCAAGAAAGCCAAGCAUUCCUCUGCCCUGCCCUGCCACCCUACUCCUCUGCACUGCCCACCACACCAUGUGCCUCUGCCAGCACAGA